ensembl:lncRNA
AUGUUCCAUUGUGUAAUAGGAUCACGUUCUUCCUCCUCUUUUGACACAACAUAUGAAGAGGGGCACCUUAGAGAAGUUUCAUGCUCAAGUGGCCUUUUCUCCCCCCCUACAUGCCUCAGAGAGUCUUCACAAGGGCGUACUCAUGGGAAGGCUGGACACAUUCAUCAGAAGGUAGGGGAAAGCAGUGUCUUAGAAAUGCUUUUGGCUUUCCAAUGGGGAGAGUCCCUUUAAAGCUUUGUUUAUCUCUCAAUGCCUCAGUUAACCCCAAGAGAAAAAACUUAGCUUAGGACAGGAAGCUCAGAGCACCCAAAAGGAUGACUACAUAGCUCAGGACUAUUUAUGUCUGCAUCUUACAUGUCCCUCCAUGCUAUCCCCAGGGGGCCAGGCUGUGCUGAUGCUCUAAGGGGGCCUAAAUAUACCAUCACUCCCUAGGAAACCAAUGGGUAUGGCAGAAACUGAGCUCUGGGAUCAAUUAUGUUGGUAAAACUACAAAUGCAAGGGUGAGCCAGAAGUGUUGUGGCUUAGGAACUACUUGGUGAAAAAAAAAAAGAACAACAACUUGAUGUUCCCUAGUAGAAUCCCACGGCCCCAGGGGAGGUGACCCUGGCUGUCCGGUCGACUAGCCAGAGAGCUGGGCCUGAGUGGCUAGACACACCUUCCGUUUCAGUUGACUCACUUGAGUGGCAAAUUCUUCUCUCCCUCACAGUCCUCUCAUCUUCAAAGGGAAUUCAUUAAGCCCCACAAUGGCAUCGGCACUUGGCCAGGUGUUGUACUGGCCCAUUAGGUGGACACAGGCCACAAACUCAGGAGCGUGCCAAAUGAGGUGCAGGGCAGCUGAGAGCUGUUGACAUCCCCCAGGAUUGCCCUGAAGCACUUUCUAUAAACCCUCCAGCUGUUUCAAACUAUUUGUGUGUGGCUCUCAGCGUAUGCUGUGUUCUUCCUGAAGCCCCUUGCCUUAGCUCACUCUGUUCCCUUUGCCUGGAAUACUCUUCCACUCAAUACACUCAAAUGCCAACUCCUGGGUGGGGGCCUCCUCUGAUAACCCCAGGCAGAACCGAGUGCUCUGAAUUCUGUGUCACCAUAGCAUUCUGAUCAUUGUUAAUAUCACACGUAGCUGCUCAAUUUUUAUAUCCCCUAAUGGACUCAAUUUCUUGGAAGUAGAUUCUCUGGCUUAUUCAUCCUUGUUUCCCAAGCAAGAAUUUAGUAGGUUUUCAUAAAUGUGUGCUGGAUUCAAUGCAGCAAGGGACACAUUUCAUGCUUCCUAUCUGAUUCUAACCUUGAGUGUGACUGGAAGCAGGUCAUGUCUCUCUGAGUUUUACUUUCCUUCUCUGUGAAAUGGGUGGAGGAAGAUAAAUGAGAAAAAUUGCCUCUAAGAGGUUUUCUGGCUCUCUUGUCUGUGAUUUUUUAACUCUGGUCUCCUUGUAGAAAACUGAUAGUUCCUUACAACUUUCAAACACCAGGAUGAUGUUUUCAUUUUCGUAUAUUAGAGGGCCUAGUGUUUCCUUCCCACCUCUAGUCUGUCACAUUUUUAAAAUGUGUAUUAUUUAGCAUCUUGCAAAUUCUCUAACUAAAGUUUCAAGAAGUUUCUGGGAUUAGUUGGUUGUAGAAAGUGUACAGCUUCUAUCUCCUCCGUCAAAUAAAAUGGUUGAACUAAUUAAUUCUUUAAAAAAA